rnacentral:rRNA from 1 species
CCAACAGGGAUUGCCCCAGUAACGGCGAGUGAAGCGGCAGCAGCUCAAAUUUGAAAUCUGGUCCCUCCGGGGCCCGAGUUGUAGUUUGUAGAGGAUGCUUCGGGUGCGGUGCCGGUCUAAGUUCCUUGGAACAGGACGUCAUAGAGGGUGAGAAUCCCGUAUGUGACUGGCGACCAAGCCUAUGUGAAGCUCCUUCGACGAGUCGAGUUGUUUGGGAAUGCAGCUCUAAAUGGGUGGUAAAUUUCAUCUAAAGCUAAAUACCGGCCAGAGACCGAUAGCGCACAAGUAGAGUGAUCGAAAGAUGAAAAGCACUUUGGAAAGAGAGUUAAAAAGUACGUGAAAUUGUUGAAAGGGAAGCGCUUGCGACCAGACUUGCCCGCGGGUGAUCAGCCGUUAUUUUUACCGGUGCACUCGCCCGUGGCCAGGCCAGCAUCGGUUCGGGCGGUUGGAUAAAGGCCCGGGGAAUGUAGCUCCCUCCGGGGAGUGUUAUAGCCCGGGGUGCAAUGCGGCCAGCCUGGACCGAGGACCGCGCUCCGGCUAGGAUGCUGGCGUAAUGGUUGCAAGCGACCCGUCUUGAAACACGGACCAAGGAGUCUAACAUCUAUGCGAGUGUUUGGGUGUCAAACCCAUGCGCGCAAUGAAAGUGAACGGAGGUGGGAACCUUUCAGGGCGCACCAUCGACCGAUCCUGAUGUCUUCGGAUGGAUUUGAGUAAGAGCAUAGCCGUUGGGACCCGAAAGAUGGUGAACUAUGCGUGGAUAGGGUGAAGCCAGAGGAAACUCUGGUGGAGGCUCGCAGCGGUUCUGACGUGCAAAUCGAUCGUCAAAUCUGCGUAUAGGGGCGAAAGACUAAUCGAACCAUCUAAACCCGCCUAACUACUAGAUGGGAUACGGGCCUGAAGCCCUGAAGUAGUCCCCGGGCGCGCACGGAGCGCCCGGGGGCGACACUGCCGGUCUAUCGGGGAAGCCUCCUGGCCACCCGCAGUGAGCCGCGGGCUCAUUCACAGACUAAGUGGCGGUGGCCGCUCCCCGGAACCUCGGGGUGCGGUUAGGAUAUAGUCGGACCCUCCCCGAACGGGAGGCGUUUUUUGAGUAGCUGGUUUCAGCCGAAGUUUCCCUCAGGAUAGCAGUAACGUUUUCAGUUUUAUGAGGUAAAGCGAAUGAUUAGAGGCCUUGGGGUUGAAACAACCUUAACCUAUUCUCAAACUUUAAAUAUGUAAGAAGUCCUUGUUGCUUAGUUGAACGUGGACAUUUGAAUGCACCGUUACUAGU